rnacentral:rRNA from 1 species
UACGUAGGGGGCUAGCGUUGUCCGGAAUCAUUGGGCGUAAAGAGCGUGUAGGCGGCCAGGUAGGUCUGCUGUGAAAACUCGAGGCUUAACCUCGAGAUGUCGGUGGAAACCAUCUGGCUAGAGUCCGGAAGAGGAGAGUGGAAUUCCUGGUGUAGCGGUGAAAUGCGCAGAUAUCAGGAGGAACACCGGUGGCGAAGGCGGUUCUCUGGGCAUUACCUGACGCUGAGGAGCGAAAGUGUGGGGAGCGAACAGG